UACGUAGGGGGCUAGCGUUAUUCGGAAUUACUGGGCGUAAAGCGCACGUAGGCGGCUUUGUAAGUCAGAGGUGAAAGCCUGGAGCUCAACUCCGGAAUUGCCUUUAAGACUGCAUCGCUAGAAUCAUGGAGAGGUGAGUGGAAUUCCGAGUGUAGAGGUGAAAUUCGUAGAUAUUCGGAAGAACACCAGUGGCGAAGGCGACUCACUGGACAUGUAUUGACGCUGAGGUGCGAAAGCGUGGGGAGCAAACAGG
rnacentral:rRNA from 1 species